rnacentral:rRNA from 1 species
GACGAACGCUGGCGGCGUGCCUAAUACAUGCAAGUAGAACGCUGAAGGAGGAGUUUGCUUCUCCGGAUGAGUUGCGAACGGGUGUGUAACGUGUAGGUAACCUUCCUGGUAGCGGGGGAUAACUAUUGGAAACGAUAGCUAAUACCGCAUAACAGUAGAUGUUGCAUGACAUUUGUCUAAAAGGUGCAAUUGCAUUACUACCAGAUGGACCUGCGUUGUAUUAGCUAGUUGGUGAGGUAACGGCUCACCAAGGCGACGAUACAUAGCCGACCUGAGAGGGUGAUCGGCCACACUGGGACUGGGACACGGCCCAGACUCCUACGGGGGGCAGCAGUAGGGAAUCUUCGGCAAUGGGCGGAAGUCUGACCGAGCAACGGCGCGUGGGUGAAGGAGGGUUUCGGAUCGUAAAACUCUGUUGUAAGGGAAGAACGGGUGUGAGAGUGGAAAGUUCACGCUGUGACGGUAUCUUACCAGAAAGGGACGGCUAACUACGUG